rnacentral:lncRNA from 1 species
GACAGGGUCUCACUAAAUUGCCUAGAGCCUUAUUAAGUUGCUGAGGCUGGUCUCAACUUGUGAUUCUCCUGCCUUAGUCUCUUGAGUCACUGGGAUUACAGGCAUGCACCACCAUGCCCAACCCUUGGGACUUUGUGGGUGGAUAAUCAUGUUAUCUGUAAAAACUUUUUUUUUUCUUUUUCCCUGCCAAUCUGUAUACCUGUUACAGCAACUGCAUUGUGACAUGGAGCAGCUCUCUCCAAAGUUAGGUUUGUUUUUCAUGAAUUGUGACAGUAGCCCCUUUGAUUCCAAAAGGUGAGGAAUGGGGUUUAUUGUGAAAUCUAGUACAGAAAGAGUAGUCAGUAGAAAGUCUAGAACAGAAAGAGUAGUCAGUGUUCAUAUUAUACAGGGGAAGUUCUGCCAGCAGGAAGUUUAAAAGAGAUGGUGGGAGGGCACAUGCACUUGGGAUCCACAGGGGAACUUUGUCAGGAUUGUGAAGGAGGCAGUAGACAUGGGAAGGUGAUGAGGCUUAUGGAUUGCUUACACUAAGUCAAAGUGUAAGUUUCCUAGAAUUGUCACGGUUCACCCCUAAUAUUUGGGUCAGUACUACAAUCUCAGGUUUCCUGUGAACAAAUAUGUAUUGGAGAAAGGUGAAGUUUGCAAAUUGACCCAAAUUAAUUAGUGACUUAGGUUUUAAAAAACUAAAGAGGGCAUGAAUUGUUACCAUCCAAAACCAAAUGGGACAAGUUAAGGCUUGUUUGAGAGAUCAAAGCAAAGAGAGCCAAUACUUAUUGCUUGAAUGCAUACAGCUGCUUUAUCAUGGACCAAAUUUUGCAUCCAAAUUUGAUAGAGGUAGGUCUCUGGACCUUGUUGUAUGUCAUGGUAGUUUAGCCAAGGUCAAAGUCUUAUCAACAUUUCUAAUGUCUUAUAUGAUGGCUUCAUAAGUUUCUUUCUUUAGUACAGUAUCAUCACUAAUUCCAUAGCUGAGUGUGUGGGGAUAUACAGGCCCUUGAUUGUCCUUUCUCCAUACAUUUUGAACAGUGGAGGGCUACAGAAAUAGCCAAUAGGUAUAUAUAAAAAAAAAAAGUAUGUGUAAAAUGGGAUCCCUCAGAUAAAUGUAAAUUGUAGUUUUGGUGGAUAAAUUGGGACAGUAUAAAAUAUUAAGCUCGAUCAGUAGCUUUGAAGCAAUAUCAGUAAUAUUUGGUAAGGGGCCUUAACUGGAGAUAUUAUAGGGAUUAUGAAUGUUAUGAGGUAUUCAUUUUUACUCGUGUUAAGGGUAGGCCAAAUAGGGCAACUGGAAGGAAAAAAAGGAGACAAGGAUUCUUUUUGCAAUGAAAUUAUUAAAAACAACACUUAAUUCUUUCAACCUUCUUUGUUCCGACAACAUGAGGUGUUCAUAAAUUUAAUAGGUCAUUGUUUAAUAGCACUAGCAUAACCGUUUGUAAAGGGAUUGGCAUUGGAUUUCUGCAGUCUUUCUUACUCCCAACACUUUUGACAAAAUAUGUAGGGGCUUUCUAUACCACUUCUCCAACUCUGACACCAAGUGGGUGUGUAAUGAAAUGAUUUAUUUCAUUUCUGAUAGUAAGUACCUGGUUAGCACCAGAUCCCAAAGAUUAAGGGCUCAUUCCCAUAAGACUCCCCCAACUGAGAAUCCAGCCUUGAAGUCCCAGGCCUCUUAGUUCUGACCAACUAGCUCCCUCCUUGGAUGCAAGAAUUUCCUAGAAUGAUUUGCAGAACUCAGGAAUUCCUGAGUUUAAUUUCUCUUGCCAAUCUAUUACAACAGAUAAAACAGCCACAUGGAAGAGGUACAUAGGGUGAGGUACCUGGGAGUGCCGGAGGCAAUGCAGCGUUUCCAUGCCCCUUCCAAGAGCAUCCCUCUCCCAGCACCUAUCAAGGUGUAGUGUUGUAGUCACCAACUUGGAAGCUCUUUGAACUCUCAAAGGGGUUUUUAUGGAAAUUUCACUAUGUGUGCAUGGCUGAGGAAAUUUACCCUUAGAUUGAGCUCCAUCUGUGCCCCCUCUUCCCCUUCUGAGACAUCAGUAGUGAGUGGGGCUCAUGGUUCCAACUCUAAAAAUGUUGUAGAAUAAGAAGUGUUGCUUUCAAAAUGUUCUGAAUGUGCCGAUAUCUCUUUGUUUUGUUUUGUGGUGCUGGGGAUUGAACCCAGGGCCUUGUACAUAAGAGGCAAGUACUCUACCAACUGAGCAAUAUCCCCAUCCCUGUAUGGAUAUCAUUUCUUUAUACACUUAAAAAGGCUGCUUUUGUGAAUUACAUAUAAAAAUACAUUUUUUUUGUUGUUGUUUGUUUUGUAGUGGAGAGUGAACCCAGGGCCUGGCAUGGGCUAGGCAAUCAUGCUACCCCUGAGCAUGUUUUCUAAACAUUAUGUUAAAAAUACUUUUCAUGGGCUGGGAUUGUGGUUUUGUAAGCGCUUCUCUAGAACGUGUAAGGCACCAGGUUCCAUCCUUAGCACCAAAUAUAUAUGAAAAAAAAAUUCAUGACCUUAAAAAAAAUUUUUUUUCGUGGCCAAAAAAGAAAAGGAACAACCAGAAAGUAAAAAAGAAAAAAAUAAACUGGGAGAAAAUA